UUCUCGCCUCUCUCUUCCUACAUCUCACACAGAACACAGAAAUUCCAGAGAAAGAAACAAUCUUCCUACAAAAUUUCUUCUCGGUUCUUGAAUAUCAUGAACAUGAAUUGAAAAUUUUUCAGAGUCAUCUUCAGAUGCUGCAAAUGAGGAACUUUGGAAUCUUGCUAAAGAUGAAGAAUUGAUGAAUUUGCAGAUUAAUGCUCUACAAGAGGAUGGAAGGAGAAGACGUAUUGAUUUUGACCUUGUGGUCACCAAUGCCCAGACCAAUGAAGGCUAAAUAUAAACAGAGUAUUUGAGAACAGAAGAAAAAAAGAUCGAGGUUAUUAGAGAAAAAAAAAAACAUUCAUGUAAAAGAAUUUAAAUGCAGGGCCGUUUACAAUUUCUCUUUUUCUCUCAGAGCAAAAGUGCAAAACGA